GGAUAACUUACCCUUAGGACUGGGAUAACUCUGGGAAACUGGGGAUAAUACUGGAUAUUAGGCUAUGCCUGGAAUGGUUUGCCUUUGAAAUGUUUUUUUCGCCUAAGGAUAGGUCUGCGGCUGAUUAGGUCGUUGGUGGGGUAAUGGCCCACCAAGCCGAUGAUCGGUACGGGUUGUGAGAGCAAGGGCCCGGAGAUGGAACCUGAGACAAGGUUCCAGACCCUACGGGGUGCAGCAGGCGCGAAACCUCCGCAAUGUACGAAAGUGCGACGGGGGAUCCCAAGUGUUAUGCUUUUUUGUAUGACUUUUCAUUAGUGUAAAAAGCUUUUAGAAUAAGAGCUGGGCAAGACCGGUGCCAGCCGCCGCGGUAACACCGGCAGCUCGAGUGGUAGCUGUUUUUAUUGGGCCUAAAGCGUUCGUAGCCGGUUUGAUAAGUCUUUGGUGAAAGCUUGUAGCUUAACUAUAAGAAUUGCUGGAGAUACUAUUAGACUUGAAGUCGGGAGAGGUUAGAGGUACUACCGGGGUAGGGGUGAAAUCCUAUAAUCCUGGGAGGACCACCUGUGGCGAAGGCGUCUAACUGGAACGAUCUUGACGGUGAGUAACGAAAGCCAGGGGCGCGAACCGGAUUAGAUACCCGGGUAGUCCUGGCCGUAAACGAUGUGGACUUGGUGUUGGAA
rnacentral:rRNA from 1 species